AGAGUUUGAUCCUGGCUCAGGACGAACGCUGGCGGCGUGCCUAAUACAUGCAAGUAGAACGCUGAAGAGAGGAGCUUGCUCUUCUUGGAUGAGUUGCGAACGGGUGAGUAACGCGUAGGUAACCUGCCUUGUAGCGGGGGGUAACUAUUGGAAACGAUAGCUAAUACCGCAUAACAAUGGAUGACACAUGUCAUUUAUUUGAAAGGGGCAAUUGCUCCACUACAAGAUGGACCUGCGUUGUAUUAGCUAGUAGGUGAGGUAACGGCUCACCUAGGCGACGAUACAUAGCCGACCUGAGAGGGUGAUCGGCCACACUGGGACUGAGACACGGCCCAGACUCCUACGGGAGGCAGCAGUAGGGAAUCUUCGGCAAUGGGGGCAACCCUGACCGAGCAACGCCGCGUGAGUGAAGAAGGUUUUCGGAUCGUAAAGCUCUGUUGUAAGUCAAGAACGAGUGUGAGAGUGGAAAGUUCACACUGUGACGGUAGCUUACCAGAAAGGGACGGCUAACUACGUGCCAGCAGCCGCGGUAAUACGUAGGUCCCGAGCGUUGUCCGGAUUUAUUGGGCGUAAAGCGAGCGCAGGCGGUUUGAUAAGUCUGAAGUUAAAGGCUGUGGCUCAACCAUAGUUCGCUUUGGAAACUGUCAGACUUGAGUGCAGAAGGGGAGAGUGGAAUUCCAUGUGUAGCGGUGAAAUGCGUAGAUAUAUGGAGGAACACCGGUGGCGAAAGCGGCUCUCUGGUCUGUAACUGACGCUGAGGCUCGAAAGCGUGGGGAGCGAACAGGAUUAGAUACCCUGGUAGUCCAC
rnacentral:rRNA from 1 species